rnacentral:tRNA from 1 species
GCUCCCAUCGUCUAACGGUUAGGACACGAGCUUUUCAAGCUCGGUAUACGGGUUCGAUUCCCGUUGGGAGUA